UACAGGUUUUUUUGUAUACGGGAGGAAUUUUGCACACACGGAGGGUUAGUUCGAAAUUUCAACAAAAGAUGGCUUUGUGAUUUACUUUUUCGGCAAAAGAUGGUGGGUCGGUCGAAUGUUUCACAAAUGUCACCAAUAGGUGGCUCUGAUUUCAAAUUUCACCAAUAGAUGGCGGCUUUGAUUGGGGUGAGUUUGAACUACGCGCUUAGAAGUUUCCCCCUCUAUGCUACCUAGUCGAGUCGAGUUCGAGCAUGUAUCUUGCUUGCAUCGGCUAAAACCGGUAAAUGUUAUUAGCAAAUAGCCAAAUAGCUUUUGUUUAUAUCAUGGUUUAUAUACUGCCACUCCAGCCACCAGCCAACUAUACUCUCCAGCCGUCAGCGUCCAGCCAUUAACAUUUAUCCAGAAAUACAGUGAAUCACAAGAAGAGUGGCUCACAGAAUUUGCAUUUCAGGGAAGUGUACUAAAUUUUAAAAACUAUCCGUCACAUCCAGAUUCCUUCAAGGAGGAGAAAAAUUGGUCGUUAAAUUGGACAAAUCAAACACAGGCUACAACAGCUGGAUGAAUUUUAAGAGCAUGUGAGUGACCACAAGGUACUUUUGAGUUUUGAUGGUUAUGACUUUGUCUCAUGAGUUACACAAAUUAGUCAUGAACUCCAACAGGCCUGGGAUUUAGAUCAAAGAGUCAAAGCCCUAAAAACUAAUUCAGUGCUCUAUUAUUCUGUUUUAAACUCACCCCUUUGCUUUUUAUCUGAGCAAAUUUGUCCUCAUUACAUAUAUUCUUCAUAAUUUUGGUUAACUGGUUGUUUGAAGGCAUUGCUGAUAAAGAUAUUAGGCUUGUUGGUUUAGGAAAUUGGAUACAUCUACACUGGUUUCUCCCAGUAUUGGCAGUGAGAAAAUGUCUGGGAAACCACUAAGGGCAAGAUCAACAACUGUGAAGGAAUGGAUCAAGGCGUUGGCCCAUCAUCUAUGGCAUGUCAUUUCCCCGGUUGGGACCAUCACCUUGCUCGAGUACGAGGCCUCUUGUGGAAUAUCGUCAAAUCUCUGCCAAUGAGCCAUCUCCUUCCUAUUCAUCAACAUGUACUUCGUUGAGAGACUUGGAGAGUUGGAGAAUUGUAGCCUCUUCCGUUAUGCCAUUUUUGUCGCGAUGCAUUUGAAAUCGUCACCAUCUUUUGCGUUUGUCGCGUAGCGUUUGUGGAAGACAUCCUCGGCCGUCAUAUCGGACAAGAAAAAUACGAGCAGUGCGAGCGUUUCCUCGUCGAAAAACUUUGCGUUCCGUCUCAGUGGAUUGAUAAAUGUCGGGCAGUUAAGGCGCUCUAUGCGUUUCAUCCGAAACUUCAGGCCACGUCCCUGCUUGCCGACCUUGAACUUUACAGCCAAGCACACGACGUAAUUUGUGAUGAACUUGCUCCGGAAGCUAUCCUGUCUGAAACCUAUCUGGAGUUAGAGGAACUCUUGGCUCUCUUGGCUGACCCGGAACGAUUCAGUACGAUUGCCGAUUGGUACACAAUAGGGGCAAAGUUCAUUGGAAUUAUAUCGCAGUCGUAAAACACGUAGAUGGAAUUUAAAUGCAGGAUAAUUCCAGUGAAAAGGAAAUGCAGCUAUAGAAUCUCUGCAAGUUGGUGUCCUCUCUUCUCGUAUUCUCCACCAAGCAUAGGCUUGUUCGCGCGGAAAUAGCCCAGAAAGCGGCUUAAAUUUUUAAAAACAUUAUUGGACUCCAGUUAAAGUUGCUUAUUGAAGUAAAAAAUUCCUGGUCAUUUUAGCUCAAAUUUAUUUGAUCUCUAUUAGUCGGUCAGCGCAUCAGAGGAAAUUGUAGUUCACCCUCGUUCUGUCCUAAUUUCAUAACUCCGUCAGCUUCCUGUGACGCAGGAUUACUCGCUCUAAGAGCUUAACAACGUUGUUCGUGCGUACUUUCUCGAAAGUUUUGAAUGUUCAAAAGGUGCCAAGUUAAAAAGAUCCUGUAUUUUUUUCUUUUAUUAUAAAAUUGUCCUCGGGAUCGACUGUGAAUUUGCGUCUUAUACUCUUAUGUAAACUAAACAUAACUAACCCAAAUCUAGAGCAAAUGUCAUAGGUAACACUUCAACCCUCGCCUUAUCGUGUCAUAGUGGAUGUAUUAAAAAAGGACUGAAUAACGCGUGAAUAAAACUGUGUUAAUUUAA